rnacentral:rRNA from 1 species
AGAGGGGUGCGAGCGUUAAUCGGAAUUACUGGGCGUAAAGCGCGCGUAGGGUGGAUAAGUAUGUUGGGCUGUGAAAGCCCCCGAGCUUAACUUGGGAAGGCCAGCCAAAACUGCUUGUCUAGAGUACAGUAGAGGAAAGUGGAAUUUCCGGUGUAGCGGUGAAAUGCGUAGAUAUCGGAAGGAACACCAGUGGCGAAGGCGACUUUCUGGACUGAUACUGACACUGAGGCGCGAAAGCGUGGGGAGCAAACAGGAUUAGAUACCCUGGUAGUCCACGCCGUAAACGAUGAGAACUAGCUGUUGGGGGGCAUAAGCCUUUAGUGGCGCAGCUAACGCGUUAAGUUCUCCGCCUGGGGAGUACGGCCGCAAGGUUA